GUAUUAUCAUCAAAUACCACUUACAUUUCAAAAUUUAAGGAUGAACACGAAUGUGGCCACUUUCAUUUUACACGGAAACUGUCUAAAAUUUAACUAAAAUGCUAGAAUUGUGAAGAUUUUAGUAAUUUAGCAUGACUUAAUGGUACUACAACCCGAUAUAUGUGCAUUGUAUUGUAAAAAACAGCCCAUUUUUAUGUAGCAGAAGCAUUCUUCUGUCCAAUAAAUAACUAAAAGUUUACAUUUCAACAAUUUUGUAAAACUGCUAUAUUUUGGGACCAAAAAGGGGUCUUACUGGACCUACUCCUUUUGUAUGCAUGUUAAUUAUCAUGUGAUUUUGUUUUUAUAUGAAUGCCAAAUUACAGUUAUGACCCUGAUUCCUCAUGGUUUACUGAACAAGCAAAUGACAGUUGAAGCUGGGCAUUGUGACCAUGACCUAUGCACACAUAUUAUUGCUUGAAAUAGCUGACUUAAAUAGUCAAGAUAGAGUGAGCUACUGUAUGACCAUGCACCAAGGUAAAAUACAUUAAUUUGAUAUUUGCAUAAUAUUUUAUCAGGCAUAGUUUCUGUUGCUGUGUUUUAUUAUUUUGAAGCUUUGUUUUGCUACAUUUUAUUGUAUUGUUAUGAUAUAUCAGUAGAAUCUCAUUUUGUUGUUUACAAGUGCUUAUUUGUUUUAGUGAAUAAUAAAACAUGAAAAAGUC
rnacentral:lncRNA from 1 species